rnacentral:lncRNA from 1 species
AAAAAUAAACCCACCCCGCGGGGCUCGGGGCGCUCAGGGCUCGCUCUCCCCGCGCAGACUUCGCGGUGCACCAGGUGCUGCCCUUCCAGGCGGUGUCGGCAGAGCCCUACACUUACGCCAGCGAUCUGUACGUGGCGCUGGCGCAGCCCGGAGCCGGCAGCUGCGCCGUCCUCAAAUGGGAUUACGUGGAGCGGCGGCUGAGGGAUUUCGACCGCAUCCCCGCCCCUUCGGCCGUGCACUGCAAACCCAUCGUGGCUCAGGAGCAGCUCUACGUGGUGGUGGCCCAACUCUUUGGCGGCUCCUCCAUCCACCGCUGGGACACGGCGGUGGACAAAUUCAUCAAGCUGCAGGACAUCGACCCGCAGAAAACCCGCAAACCCAACGACGUCGAGGCCUUCCAGAUCGACGGCGAGUGGUACUUCGUCAUCGCCGACAGCUCCAAGGCCGGCUCCACCAGCCUCUACCGCCUCGACCAGAACGGCUUCUACUCGCACCAGGCUCUGCACGCCUGGCACCGCGACACCGACGCGGAGUUCGUGGAGCACGACGGCAAAGCGCGCCUCAUCGUGGCCAGCAGCUCCCAGGCGCCCGUGGUCUACCAGUGGCAGAGGGCGCAGAAGCAGUUCGCCCCGCAGGGGGAGGUGGGCGAGACGGCGGACGUGCAGAUGGUGAAGCACUUCAGGGCCGGCCGGGAGCAUUUCCUCUGCCUCAGCCGCUACAUCGGCGACUCCAAGGUGGUGCGCUGGGAAGGGCAGCAGCGCUUCGUGGAGCUGCAGGCGCUGCCGUCGCGCGGCUCCAUGGUGAUGCAGCCCUUCUCCGUGGGGCGGCGGCUGUACAUGGCGCUGGGCAGCGACUUCUCCUUCAGCCACGUGUACCUGUGGGACGAGGACGAGCAGCGCUUCUCCAAGUUCCAGGAGCUGGCGGUGCAGGCGCCCAGGGCGUUCCGUUACGUCCCCGCAGCCGACGUGCAGCUGCUGCUGGCGCCCAGCUUCAAGGCCAACAGCGUGGUGUACCGGCACGUGGUGGUGGACCUCAGCCUGUAGCCGGCGGGGGGGGCACGCAUGCACCCGCACCCCGCACCUCCCCACUCCCCCCUCCUUUCCCAGCCCCGGCAGCUGCUGCUGGCGCCCAGCUUCAAGGCCAACAGCGUGGUGUACCGGCACGUGGUGGUGGACCUCAGCCUGUAGCCGGCGGGGGGGGCACGCAUGCACCCGCACCCCGCACCUCCCCACUCCCCCCUCCUUUCCAGCCCCGAAAGGCACCGGCCUCGGUUUCAGCAUCCCUGCUUUCCUACGGCUGGC